UACAGAGGUCCCAAGCGUUGUUCGGAUUCACUGGGCGUAAAGGGUGCGUAGGCGGCGCGGUAAGUCGGAUGUGAAAUCUUGGAGCUUAACUCCGAAACUGCAUUCGAUACUGCCGUGCUUGAGGACUGGAGAGGAGACUGGAAUUUACGGUGUAGCGGUGAAAUGCGUAGAUAUCGUAAGGAAGACCAGUGGCGAAGGCGGGUCUCUGGACAGUUCCUGACGCUGAAGCACGAAGGCCAGGGGAGCAAACGGG
rnacentral:rRNA from 1 species